rnacentral:tRNA from 1 species
GGGAAAGUAGCUCAGUGGUAGAGUGAUUGCCUUGCAUGCAUGAGGCCCUGGGUUCGAAUCCUCAGCCCCA